AGUGAACGCUGGCGGUAGGCCUAACACAUGCAAGUCGAACGGCAGCACAGUAAGUGCUUGCUCUUACGUGUGGCGAGUGGCGGACGGUUGCGGGAGACAUCGGAAUCUACUUUUUCGUGGGGGCUAACGGAGGGAAACUUACGCUAAUAACACAUUCGUCCUACGGGUGAAAGCAGGGGAUCUUCGGACUUUGCGGGAUUGUAUAAGCCGAUGUCGGAUUAGCUAGUUGGCGGGGUAAAGGCCUACCAAGGCGACGAUCCGUAGCUGGCCUGAGAGGGUGAUCGGCCACACUGGAACUGAGACACGGUCCAGACUCCUACGGGAGGCAGCAGUGGGGAAUAUUGCGCAAUGGGCGAAAGCCUGAUCCAGCAAUACCGCGUGAGUGAUGAAGGUCUUCGGGUUGUAAAGCCCUGUUGUUGGGAAAGAAAAACAGCAGAUUUAUCCCUGCCUGUUUUGACGGUACCCAAAGAAUAAGCACCGGCUAACUUCGUG
rnacentral:rRNA from 1 species